rnacentral:rRNA from 1 species
UACGUAGGGGCCCAGCGUUGUCCGGAAUCAUUGGGCGUAAAGCGCGCGUAGGCGGCCAGACAAGUCCGGUGUGAAAGUCACAGGCUCAACCUGUGAAUGCCGCUGGAAACUGUCUGGCUAGAGUCCGGAAGGGGCGAGUGGAAUUCCUGGUGUAGCGGUGAAAUGCGCAGAUAUCAGGAGGAACACCUAUGGCGAAGGCAGCUCGCUGGGACGGUACUGGCGCUGAGACGCGAAAGCGUGGGGAGCAAACAGG